rnacentral:lncRNA from 1 species
AAAAAACAUGAAGAGGUUUUCCCUUAUUGUUUUGUGCGUGGUGACUCUAGUGAUGGUGUUGUUUUCAGGUGCAGAGGCAGCGCCAGUGCCGAAAUGUGAUAACCCCUUAGAGUAUAGCUCAUGCUUGAAUGCGUACAAGAAGCCACCUCCAUCAGCCGGUUGUUGCCAGAAGAUGAAGGAACAAGCACCAUGCUAUUGCAAGUACAUGAAGAUAGAAGAUGUCAAACGUGUUUUUGACAGAGUUGAGAUUGCGAAAAUGGCUAAAUUGUGUGGAGUUUCAUAUUCUUCCACCUGCUAGAAUCCCGUUUGGUUUCAUUUGACUAUCUCUGGAUGAGAUAACCUGACAUCUCAAUAAAUGAAAAUUUUAUUUGAAAACUAUUUUUUUACCCAUAAUUUCGACUAUAAUGUACUUGUGUUCUUUUUUUUUUUUGGAAUAAUACUGGUGGUUUGCUAUUAUUUACCUUUAUUGUCUUGAUUCAUGUUAUAUAUAUGCAAAAAGAACUACACAAUGAUCUAGAUUUUGUUUGAACUAUACUGGAUUGGUUAGAUUAGAAACUGAUCUGGAUAGUAGUAUAAUUAGAGGGGUUAGAUUGGUUGACCCACGAACCGAUAGGCAGUAGUUGAAUCGGUUUUCUCUAAUAAAGUAUUUUUAUAUUUAUUUUAAUCUUUAAGUAAUUUAUUUAAUCAAACUAGAUGAAUAGUUCGAAAUAAAAAAAUAGUUAUUUAACUGAUUUAAUCGUCGUCCAGUUCUGAAAACAUUGUUAUAGUUAAAAAAAAAACAAGAGAAAUGAGUUGUGUAGAUCAAAUUAUUAUAUUAUAAAAAUAUAUGUUAUUUGAAUAUUUAUUUAGGUAAAAUACACUAGUAGUCACUCAACUUUUAGUAAAUUUCUUUAUUUCUUAUCGAAUUAUGAAAAAUUACAAAAUGAUCACCUAACUAUUCAAUUUUUUCUUUUUUGAGCUUCGGUCAGCUAAUGGUGACAACCAGACUUGUUAAUUGGUCGAGUUACCUGCCCAAGCCCGAUGGUCUGCUUGAAAAAUGGAAGGGUUUGGACAAAUAUAUGGUGCCGAAAAAUGGGUUAGGGUAAAAUUUAAGGCCUAUUUUCUAUAUGAUUGGGAUCUGUGCAAAUUUUUUUUUAGCCGAGCACAAUUUGAUUAUAUUAAUUAUAUAUGUUAAAUAAUAAUUCUAUAUUUAUAUAUAUUGAAUUACUAACCCAAUAACAACUAAACCCAUUUUUCAAAACCUAAAAAAAAAACUUAGCCAACUUAAUAAUUGGCUUCAGCUUUUCCUCAAGCCCGUCAAUUAGUUAACCAUAGACAUAUUUUAGUUAAUGGCUUACAGUAGAUAUACCAAGUUAUCGUUGUAAGCCCCGAGAUAUUAUUUCAAUGAGGGAUGAACAAAAUUCUAGAACUCUUAUUCAAAAUCAUCUUGAUUCAUCCACCAAUGAGGAAUUACCAAAACAUUUAGCCAUUCACACAUUACAAUAUAAAGGAUUAGUCAAUCAAAUAAUAUAUGAGAAAUAGGUUGGUUUGAAAUAAAUGGAUUGCUUGUAGUAGAAUAUUAUUCUCGUCAGAACUAAAAAUAUAAAAUAUAAAAUUUUUUAUUUAAUACAAUAAAACAUUUAUUAUAUUUAUGGUAGUGUUUUUUAAUGAAUCUUUAAUGUGGUAUGAAACUCUCAGUUGAUGAAACUUAUUUAGUGGUAGAUUCAAUAAACUAUUGGGUCAUUAAUUCUGAAGUCAUUAAUAAUAUUUGUGUUUAUUGUUGGGGUUUAAGUAAACGAGAAGCCUCCGUGAUAAGGAUCUCUCGUUGCUUGCUAGAGAUGGGAGAAAUGUAGCAGCAAAAGAAGUGGGAGAAGUACAUUUGUAUUUUGAUAAUUUUAGGAAAUUUAUUUUAAAUGAUAUUUUUUAUGUACCUAGUUUUAGGAGAAAUUUAAUUUCUAUUGCAUGUUUAUUUAAAGCAAGUUUUUUUGUGACUUUUAAUAAAGGGAUUGCAAUUCAUAAAAAUCAUGUUCUUAUCCGUAAUGGAUGGGUGCAAAAUAAUAUUUAUUUUCUUACACAAAAGAGCUAUUCACUGCUUGAAACCAAACUUGUGAAUGAGAAACUUAAAACUUCUCACUCUGAUUCUUAUGAUAUUUAAUACUUAAUCGCGUUAAACAAGAAAGAAUGAAUAAACUUUUUAAAGAUGAGACUUUAAGUUUACUUAAAGUGAUACAUCUUUCACAAUGUAAAUCUUGCUUGAAACGUAAAAUAACCAAGCAAUCUUCUAAUGCAAAAGGUACAAGGGUUGUUCAAUCAUUCAAACUUGUGCAUACCGACAUAUGUGGUCCCAUGAACGUUAGUGUAAGAUUUGGUUACAAUUAUUUUGUAAACUUUUUAGAUAUCUAGAUACUAGCUAGUAUGUGUACGUAAUGCAUCACAAAAGUGAAACUUUAAAAAAAAUUCAAGAUUUUAGUGUGAAAGUGCAGAAACAAUUAGGUUACCUAUUAAGGCACUUCAGUUUGACCGACGUGGGGAAUACAUAUCAGACGAGUUCAUAAGAUACCUCAUAGAGAAUGAGAUACUAUCCCAAUUAACUGUGCAGGGUACUCCACAACAGAAUGGCAUAGCAAUGAGAUGGAACAAAACCUAGCUUGAUAUGAUUUAUUCAAUGCUAAGUUAUUCAAAACUUCCAAUAUCAUUCUUGGGGUAAGCAUAUCGACUUGCGAUAUUUUAAAUUACAUAAAAACUAAGGAAGCACUUCAGGAUCCAUAUGAAAUGUGGCAUGACAUGAAGCCAAGCCUAAAUCAUUUUAGGAAUUGGGGAUGCCCAACUUACGUGUUGGCUAAAGAUACAAAAAAUUUGGAAGCACGGAUAGAAUUUUGCAUGCUUGUUGGUUGUCCAAAACGGAGUAAGGGUGGAUAAAUUUAUAAUCCAAAAGACCAAACAGUUAAUGUUUCGACUUUUGCUACUUUCCUUGAGGAUAUCUAAAUUAAAGAUUUUAAACCUCAAAGUAGAUUGUUACUUCAAAAAAUUUUAGGAAAAUGAGCUUCUUUUUCUAUGACUUGUAAGUCAUUUUCCGUGAAAUAAACCCAGUUGAAGGAAAAUGAAUUCACGGAAAAUGAAUAAGAGGAUAAUAAUUUUAUAAACAGCGAUAUAAAAUAUUUUACUCAUACCAUCAUUUUGAUUGAUUUUAUUAGUGAUUUUAAUUUUCUAUUUUACUUUUUUUAGUGACUCUUUAAAUAAUUGAGACCAAUAAAAAAACCAUAACAACUAAAAUUAAAAAUUUAAUAUUCUAAAAAAAUAUUUUAAUUUUAAUUUUAAUUUUAAAUUGUUCAAAGAUUAAGCUAUUUUCUCGGCUUUGUAAGCACGUUUCAAUUUUUUUUUACCACAAAUUAUCUCCCUUACAAAAAUAGUAAACCUAACAGUAUCCUUUUACAACAUUUACACAUUUACACGUAUUGCCCAAAACUCUCGGCAACUAAUAAUCCAACUACUAUAAACUGUGUAAAAGUUCAUUGGAAAAAACACACCAACACAAAUUACCAUUAUUAGUCACCCAACAAGCUAACUUUUUAUUUAAAAAAACAUGAAGAGGUUUUCCCUUAUUGUUUUGUGUGUAGUGACUUUAGUGGUGGUGUUGUUUUCGGGUGCAGAGGCAGCGCCAGUGCCGAAAUGUGAUAACCCUUUGGAGUAUAGCUCAUGCUUGAAUGCGUAUAAGAAGCCACCUCCAUCAGCCGGUUGUUGCCAGAAGAUGAAGGAACAAGCACCAUGCUAUUGCGAGUACAUGAAGAUAGAAGAUGUCAAACGUGUUUUUGACAGAGUUGAGAUUGCGAAAAUGGCUAAAUUGUGUGGAGUUUCAUAUUCUUUCACCUGCUAGAAUCCCGUUUGGUUUCAUUUGACUCUCUCUGGCUAGGAUAACUUGGCAUCUCAAUAAAUGACAAUUUUAUUUGAAAACUAUUUUUUUACUCAUAAUUUCGACUAUAAUGUACUUGUGUUCCGUUUUUUUUGGAAUGAUACUAGUGGUUUGCUAUCAUUUACCUUUAUUGUCUUGAUUCAUAUUACAUAUGUGCUAAAAGAACUACACAAUGAUCUAGAUCUUGUUUGAAUCAUAUUGGAUUGGUUAGAUUGGAAAUUGAUCUAGAUACCAAUAUAAUUAGAUGGGUUAGAUUGAUUGACCCACGAACCAAUGGAGACUGGUUGAAACGGUUUUCACUAUUUCUUUAAAAAUAUUUUUAUAUUUAUAUAAAUUAUUAAAUAAUUUAUUUAAUCAAACUAGACGAACAAGUUGAAAUGAAAAAUAGUUAUUUGACUGAUUUGACCAUCGGUCCAGUUCUAAAAACAUUGUUAUAGUUUAAAAAAAAAAGAGAAAUGGGUAGGGUAAAUAAAAUUAUUAUAUUAUAAAAAAAAUGUUAUUCGAAUAUUUAUUUGGGUAAAGUAUACUUGGAGUCACUCAACUUUUAGUAAAUUUCUUUAUUUCUCAUCGAAUUAUGAUCUCCAAUUAGCUAAUGGUGGUAGCUAGACUUGUUAAUUGGCUGGGUUACCUGCCCAAGUCCAACGGCCCGCUUGAAAAAUGGAAGGGUUUGGACAAAUACACGAUGCUGAAAAAUGGGUUUGGGUAAAAUUUAAGGCCUAUUUUAGUUAAACAAAAUUCUAGAACUCUUAUUCAAAAUCAUCUUGAUUCAUCCAGCAAUGAGGAAUUACCAAAACAUUUGACCCUUCACACAUUACUAUAUAAAGGAUUAGUUAAUCAAAUAAUAUAUGAGAAAUGGGUUGGCUUGAAAAUAAAUGGAUUGCUUGUCGUAGAAUAUUAUUCUCGUCAGAACUAAAAAUAUAAAAUAUAAAAAUUUUAUUUAAUACAAUAAAACAUUUAUUAUAUUUAUGGUAGUGUUUUUUAAUGAAUUUUUAAUGUGGUAUGAAACUCUUAGUUGAUGAAACUUAUUUAGUGGUAGAUUUAAUAGACUAUUGGGUCAUUAAUUUUGAAGUCACUAAUAAUAUUUAUGUUUAUUGCUGGGGUUCAAAUAAACGAGAAGCAUUCGUGAUAAGGAUCUCUCGUUGCGAGCUGGAGAUGGGAGAAAUGUAGCGGCAAAAUAAGUGGGAGAAGUACAUUUGUAUUUUGAUAAUUUUAGGAAAUUUAUUUUAAAUGAUAUUUUUCAUGUACCUAGUUUUAAGAGAAAUUUAAUUUCUAUUGCAUGUUUAUUAAAAAAGUUUUUCUAUGACUUCUAAUAAAAGGAUUGCAAUUCAUAAAAAUCAUGUUCUUAUCCGUAAUGGAUGAGUGCAAAAUAAUAUUUAUUUUAUUACACAAAAGUGCAACUCACUGCUUGAAACCAAACUCGUGAAUAAGAAACUUAAAACAUCUCACGCUAAUACUUAUGAUAUUUAAGACUUAGUCGCGUUAAACAAUAAAGAAUGAAUAAACUUUUUAAAGAUGGGACUUUAAGCGCACUUAAAGAGAUACAUUUUCCACAAUGUGAAUCUUGCUGCAAAGGUAAAAUGACCAAGCAAUCUUCUAAUGUAAAAGGUACAAUGGUUGUUCAAUCAUUAAAACUUGUGUAUACUAACAUAUGUGGUCCCAUGAUCAUUAGUGUGAGAUUUGGUUACAAUUAUUAUUUAAACUUUUUAGAUAUUUAUUCCAAAUAUUGGUAUAUGUACCUAAUGCACCACAAGAGUGAAACUUUUAAAAAAAUUCAAGAGUUUAGCGUGAAAGUUGUAACACCCCUUACCCGUGUCUGACACCGAGACAGGGUAAGAGGCGUUAUUGGACUUAAACAUAACAAAUCAUACAAAACUGGGCCAUAAAAUUUUGCUCAAAUUAAAACCAUCCAUUAACAUAUAUAUAUCGUCCCUUAUAUGGGCCCAAAAGGCCCAAAACAUACAUUGGGUGUGGUUCGGGACUAAACCGAGAACUUUCGAAACUUUUAGAACACUUAGAAAAAUUUUCUUAUUUUGGAGAGCCACACGCCCGUGUGGUCACACACGCCUGUGUCCUCAGCCCGUGUAACUCUUUAUUUAUGAUGUCAUCAACACAAUUAGGGUCACUCAGCCAAGUCAAACGUCAUUGUGCUUAGAUCGUGUGGUGAAUUAAAUUCUAAAUUCAGGUGCAGGCUUCACACGGCCUGGGCACACACCCAUGUCCUAAGGCCGUGUCCUUCACACGGCAGGGACACAUGCCCGCGUCUCUGCCCUUGUGUUUACUACUGGGCAUUUUGAUUUGCAUUUAUUAGGGUGCAGGGGACACACGGUCUAGACACAUGCCUAUGUGUCUACUCGUGUAGACAACUUUGAGGCUAUCUUCCAAGCCUUUUAUCACCCGUAAUAACACAUACACACUUAUACAUCUCAAUCACAACUUACAUAGCAUAAAUGAGAACUUACGCAUUCACAACCAUGGCCCAUGCACAUCAACUUCUUAUCAAUUAGUACUUGUUAAGACUCCAUAUUUUAUUUAAGCUAAGCUUACCAAAUCACAUGCAAUAUACAACAUCAUAUUUACUUCCAUUUUACACAUUUAUGCCUUAGUUGUUAUUAUGCCAUUUACUCACAAUUCCAUCAUCAAACAUCCAUGAUCAUAUCCAUAAUUCAUCUAUGCCAAAAUGAAUUAAACACAUCAUGAAUGACCUCAGCACAAGCAUGCAUAUAUGAAUAGGAUUAUAUCCCCAUAAUUAAAAUGAGCCAUAUCUCAUGGCCAUAUACUAAAUGAAUCAUCAAAUCAUUAUAAGCCAACACAUUUGGCUAACCCAAUAUGACAUAUAACAAAAAGACCAAGUCCCUAUACAUGCCAUACUCAAAAUACUUAAAUUCAUUAUACCUAAAAGAUUAGUUUGAUAGUGUGAAUCGAGCUCCGAUGUCCUUUGAUCCUCGAGCUAGCUUGGCGAUACUAUAAAAGAUGGAAAGGAAGGGGGUAAGCAUUAAGGCUUAGUAAGUUCACAUGCAAAUAAAUAGCAACAUCAUCAUGAAUAUAUAUAAAUACCAUUGACAUAACCUAGUUUAAAUAUAUGUCAUCAUAGAUUCAUAAGCAUAACUUACACAUCUUCAAUCUUACCAACAGGUCAUCAUAUACGGAGUUCAUUCAUAAGAGUUUUUCAUACAUACCUGUACCAACUCGUAAUACAUUCUCGUAUUUCCUCCUCAAUGACUUACUUGUUGAAUAACUCACUGAUUUACCUGUUGAACACUUGAAAUACUAUCGAUACACGGAAAACUUGCACGUGGUGCUUCAAACGUAGCCACAUGCUACCUCAUAUUACAAUUACACAUUACUCGCUCUCGAGCUAAUCACGGGUCUGUUCACACAAGCUGACAGUCAGGACAUAACUACUCGGGCUGCUCAUACAAGCUGACAAGUACCCGCAACACUUGCCGGGCUACCCAGCCACUGGUAAAACAUACAAGACUAGCACCCGGAUUCACAUAAACACAUAUCGCAUAUCUUAUGAGCUCAACACAUAUAGUUCCUAUUUACAUGUCACGUUAUAUCCUAAAUUAUUCCUAUGGUUCAAACGGGAUUUUCUCGAUAUCACAUAUUCGUCGAACUCAUUCACAAUGUCGUACUCAUAGACAAUAGCGUCAUUCAUACACUCGUCAUAAUAAUUAAACAUGGAGACUCAUUCAUAAAUAAAAUAUUAAAACAUGAUAUGUCAUUGCAUUAUUUACACAUGAACUUACCUUGGUACAAAAUAUGGACAAUUAAUUUGAUUUAGUCUAAAAUCUUGUUCUUUCCCCGGUCUAGGUCCGGACUCCGUUUUUCUUGAUCUAUAAUAGCAAAUUCAGCCCAUUAAUUCAUUACAUUAUUCAAAUCAGUCCAAAAAACUAUAUUUUGGAAAAAUUAUGAUUUUUCCCCUAAACUUUCACAUAUUUGCAAAUUAGUCUCUAGGCUCGUAAAAUGAAAUGUGUUCAUUUUCUUUGUUACCCAAGCCUAGCCGAACUUAUAACAUGCUCAUAGAAGCCCACAUUUCUCAUUAAAUCAUACAUCUUACUACCCAUUUUACAAACUUUACAAAUAAGUCCUUUUUAACCAUUUUCAAUAGAAAUCACUUGGUAAAAGAUGUUUAUCACACAUCAAAUAUUCAUAUUCAUCCAUUAAACAUCAAAACACAUGCGAUUCAUACAUGGGUCAAAUUUCAAAUAUGAAUCCUACUUAAAAAUAUGGCUAGAAAUAGGUAAAUCGGGUUACGAGGGUUUCAAAAAUGUAAAGAGCAUUAAAAACGGGGCUAAGAUGUUCUUACUAUUGAGCUUGAAAGUAGAAGAAACCCUAGCUAUGGAACCCUUGAGAUUUUCGGCCAAGGUGGGAGAAGAUGGACACAAUUUUUGACUUAUUUUCCUUUUUUAUUCUUUUAUUAACCAAAUGACAAAAACGCCCUUAAGGCUUUUCUUUCAAACUUUUCCUAUUCAUGCCCAUUUUUGUCCAUAGAUAUAGAAAUUGGGAAAUUUUCUAUUUAAGGACAUCUAAUUAACAAUCCAUGGCAAUUUCAUGCUCAAAGCUUCUAGAACUCGCAUUUUGCAAGUUUUGCAAUUUAGUCCUAAAUGUCAAAUUGGACAUUUUAUCAAUAAAAUUUUUUCAUGAAAUUUUCACACAAGCAUGCAAUCAUAUCAGAGGCCUCAUAAUAAUCAUAAAACAAUUAUUUAUAUUUUGGAUUUGUGGUUUCAAAACCACUGUUUCGACUAGACCCUAAUUCAAGAUGUUACAAAAGUGGAAAAACAAUUAGAUUUACCCAUUAAGACACUUCGGUUUGACCGACGUGAGGAAUACUUAUCGGACAAGUUCAUAGGAUACCUCAUAGAGAAUGAGAUAUUAUCCCAAUUAACUGUAUAGGGUACUCCACAACAGAAUAGCGUGGCACAGAGAUGGAAUAAAACCUUGCUUGAUAUGAUUUAUUCAACGUUAAGUUAUUCAAAACUGUCGAUAUCAUUCUGGGGGUAAGCAUUACUAAUGACUUCCUAUAUUCUAAGUUACAUACAAACUAAGGUAGCACCUUAGGAUCCAUAUGAAAUGUGGCACAACAUGAAGCCAGACUUAAAUCAUUUUAGGAAUUGGGGAUGUCCAACCUAUGUGUUGGCUAAAGAUGCAAAAAAGUUGGAAGCACGAAUAGAAUUGUGCAUGUUUGUUGGCUGUCCAAAACGGAGUAAGGGUGGAUAAUUUUAUAACCUAAAAUACCUAAUAGUUAAGGUUUCAACUUAUGCUAAUUUUUUUGAGAAAAUCUACAUUAACAAUUUUAAACUUCAAAGUAGAUUGUUACUUCAGAAAAUUUCAGGAAAAUGAGCUUAUUUUUCGAUGACUAGUAAGUCAUUUUUUGUGAGACAAAUGCACCCGAAAGAAAAUGAAUAAGAGGAUAAUAAUUUAUAAACAGUGAUCUAAAACAUUUUACUCAUACCAUCAUUUUAAUUGAUUUUAUUAGUGGAUUUAAUUUUCUAUUUUACUUUUUUUAGUGACUCUUUAAAUAAUUGAGACCAUUAAAAAUAAACCAUAACAACUAAAAUUUAAAUUUUAAUAUUCUAGAAAAACCAUAUAUUUUAAUUUCAAUUUUAAAUUUAAAUUGUUCAAAGAUUAAGCUAUUUUCUUGGCUUUGUAAUCCCAUUUCAGUUUUUUUUACCACAAAUUAUCUUUAUCUCAAAAAUGGUAAACCUAACAACAUCCUUUUACCAAAUUUACACAUGUACGCGUAUUGUCCAAAACUCUUGGCAACUAAUAAUCCAACUUCUAUAAAUUGUGCCAAAGUUCAUUGGAAAAAACACACCAACACAAAUUACCAUUAUUAGUCGCCCAGCUAGCUAACUUUUUUAUUUAAAAAAACAUGAAGAGAUUUUCUCUUAUUGUUUUGUGCGCGGUGACUCUAGUGGUGGUGUUGUUUUCAGGUGCAGAGGCAGCAGCGCCAGCGCCAAAAUGUGAUAACCCCUUAGAGUAUAGCUCAUGCUUGAACGCGUAUAAGAAGCCACCUCCAUCAGCCGGUUGUUGCCAGAAGAUGAAGGAACAAGCACCAUGCUAUUGCGAGUACAUGAAGAUAGAAGAUAUCAAACGUGUUUUUGACAGAGUUGAGAUUGCGAAAAUGGCUAAAUUGUGUGGAGUUUCAUAUUCUUUCACCUGCUAGAAUCCCGUUUGGUUUCAUUUGACUAUCUCUGGUUGGGAUAACCUGGCAUCUCAAUAAAAGAAAAUUUUAUUAGAAAACUAUUUUUUUUACUCAUAAUUUCGACUAAAAUGUACUUGUGUCCUUUUUUUUUUUGGAAUGAUACUGGUCAUUUGCUAUUAUUUACCUUUAUUGUCUUGAUCAUGUUACAUAUGUGCUAAAAGAGCUACACAAUAAUCUAGAUUUUGUUUGAAUCGUAUUGGGUUGGUUGGAUUUGGAAAUUGAUCUAGAUACCAAUAUAAUUUGAGGGGUUAGAUUGGUUGACCCACGAACCAAUGGAGACUAGUUGAAAUGGUUUUCUCUAUUUCUUAAAAAAUAUUUUAAUAUUUAUUUAAAUUAUUAAAUAAUUUAUUUAAUCAAACUAGACGAACAGGUCAAAAAUAAAAAAUAGUUAUUUGACUGAUUCGACCAUUGGUCCAAUUUUGAAAACAUUGUUAUAGUUAAAAAAACAAGAGAAAUGGGUAGGGUAGAUCAAAUUAUUAUAUUAUAAAAAUAAAUGUUAUUCGAAUAUUUAUUUGGGUAAAGUACACUAGUAGUCACUCAACUUUUAGUAAAUUUCUAUUUUUCUCAUCGAAUUAUGAAAAAUCACAAAAUAAUCACCCAACUAUUCAAUUUUUUUUGAGCUCCAGUUAGCUAAUAGUGGUAGUUAGACUUGUUAAUUGGUCGGGUUACCUACCCAAGUCCAGUGGCCUGCUUGAAAAAUGGAAGGGUUUGGACAAAUACACGAUGCCGAAAAAUAGGCUUGGGUAAAAGUUAAGGCAUAUUUUCUAUAUGGGUCGGGAUUUGUGCAAAUUAUUUUGACCCGUUCCCAGUCCGACCCGAAUAUAUUAUGUUAUAAAAAUAAUUAUAUUAAUUAUAUAUGUUAAAUAAUUAUUAUAUAUUUUUUAUAUUUAUAUUAAAUUACUAAGCCAAUAACAACUAAACCCAUUACCCAAACCUUAAAAAAAUCCUUACCCAACUAAAUAAUUGGCUUCGACUAUUCCUAAAGCCUGUCAAUUAGUUAACCAUAAACAUAUUUUAGUUAAUGGCGUACAAUAGAUAUACCAAGUCAUCAUUGCAAUCUUCGAGAUAUUAUUUUAGCGGCGGAUGAGUAAAAUUCUAGAACUCUGAUUCAAAAUUAUUUUGAUUCAUCCACCAAUGAGGAGUUGCCAAAACAUUUGACCCUUCACACAUUACUAUAUAAAGGAUUAGUCAAUCAGAUAAUAGAUAGGAAAUGGGUUGGUUUGAAAAUAAAUGGAUUGAUUGCCGUAGAAUAUUAUUCUCAUCAAAACUCAACAUAUUUUUAAAAAUUUUAUUUAAUAAUGUGGUAUGAAACUCUUAGUUGAUGUAACUUAUUUAGUGCUAGAUUCAAUGUACUAUUAGGUCAUUAAUUCUAAAGCCAUUAAUCAUAUUUAUUUUUAUUGUAGGGGUUCAAGUAGAACAGAAGCCUUCGUGAUAAGGAUCUCUUGUUGCAAACUAGAGAUGAGAGAAAUGUAGCGGCAAAAGUAGUGGGAGAAAUACAUUUGUAUUUGAUAAUUUUAGAAAAAUUAUUUUCAAUGACAUUUUUAUGUACCUAUUUUUUAUGUGACUUCUAAUAAAGGAACUACAAUUCAUAAAAAUCAUGUUCUUAUCCGUAAUGGAUGGAUGCAAAAUAAUAUUUAUUUUAUUAAACAAAAGAGCUACUCACUACUUGAAAUUGAACUUGUGAAUAAGAAACUUAAAACUUCUCACUCUAAUACUUAUUAUAUUUAAGACUUAGUCGUGUUAAACAAGAAAGAAUGAAUAAACUUUUUAAAGAUGAGACUUUAAGCUCACUUAAAAAGACAUAUCUUCUACAAUGUGAAUCUCGCUUGAAAGGUAAAAUGAUCAAGAAAUCUUCUAAUGCAAAAGGUACAAGGGUUAUUCAAUCAUUAAAAAUUGUGCAUACUGACUUAUGUGAUCCCAUGAACAUUAGUGUGAGAUUGGUUACAAUUAUUAUGUAAACUUUUUAAAUAUUUAUUCUAGAUAUUGUUAUGUGUAUCUAAUGCACCACAAGAGUGAAAUUUUUAAAUAUUUUCAAGAGUUUAAUGUGAAAAUGGAGAAACAAUUAGGUUUAACUAUUAAGACACUUCGAUUUGACUGACGUGGGGAAUCCUUAUGGGACGAGUUAAUAGGAUACCUCAUAGAGAAUGAGAUACUAUCCCAACUAACUAUGCGGGGUAAUCCACAACAGAAUAGCGCGGUAGAGAAAUGGAACAAAACCUUACUUGAUAUGGUUUAUUCAAUGUUAAGUUAUUCACAACUGUCGAUAUCAUUCUGGGGUUAAGCAUUACUAACGACUUGCUACAUUCUAAAUUACAUUCAAACUAAGGCAGUGCCUCAGGAUCCAUACGAAAUGUGGCACGACAUGAAGCCAGGCUUAAAUCAUUUUAGGAAUUGGGAAUGUCAAACCUACGUGUUGGCUAAAGAUGCAAAAAAGUUGGAAGCACGGAUAGAAUUGUGCAUGUUUUUUGGCUGUCCAAAACGGAGUAACGGUGGAUAAUAUUAUAACCCAAAAGACCAAACGGUUAAGGUUUUGACUUAUGCUACUUUCUUUGAGGAAAUAUACAUUAACAAUUUUAAACUUCGAAGUGGAUUGUUACUUCAAAAAAUUUCAGGAAAAUGAACUUAUUUUUUGAUGACUUGUAAGUCAUUUUCUGUGAAACAAAUGCACCUGGAGGAAAAUGAAGAAGAGGAUAAUAAUUUUAUAAAUAGUGAUCUAAAAAAUUUUACUCAUACCAUAAUUUUAAUUUAUUUUAUUAGUGAUUUUCAUUUUCUAUUUUACUUUUUUUAGUGACUCUUUAAAUAAUUGAGACCAUAAAAAAUAAACCAUAACAACUAAAAUUAAAAAUUUAAUAUUCUAAAAAAAACCAUAUAUUUUAAUUUCAAUUUUAAAUUUAAAUUGUUCAAAGAUUAAGCUAUUUUUCUCGGCUUUGUAGGCACAUUUCAAAAUUUUUUUACCACAAUUUAUCUCUCUCAAAAAUAGUAAACCUAACAACAUCCUUUUACCAAAUUUACACAUUUACACGUAUUGUCCAAAACUCUCGGCAACUAAUAAUCCAACUGCUAUAAAUUGUGCCAAUUUUAUUGGAAAAAACAUGCCAACACAAAUUACCAUUAUUAGUCGCCUAGCUAGCAAACUUUUUAUUUAAAGAAACAUGAAGAGGUUUUCCCUUAUUGUUUUGUGCGUGGUGACUCUAGUGGUGGUGUUGUUUUCGGAUGCAGAGGCAGCGCCAGCGCCGAAAUGUGAUAACCCCUUGGAGUAUAGCUCAUGCUUGAACGCGUAUAAGAAGCCACCUCCAUCAGCCGGUUGUUGCCAGAAGAUGAAGGAACAAGCACCAUGCUAUUGCAAGUACAUGAAGAUAGAAGAUGUCAAACGUGUUUUUGACAGAGUUGAGAUUGCGAAAAUGGCUAAAUUGUGUGGAGUUUCAUAUUCUUCCACCUGCUAGAAUCCCGUUUGGUUUCAUUUGACUAUCUCUGGAUGAGAUAACCUGACAUCUCAAUAAAUGAAAAUUUUAUUUGAAAACUAUUUUUUUACCCAUAAUUUCGACUAUAAUGUACUUGUGUUCUUUUUUUUUUGGAAUAAUACUGG